GACGAACGCUGGCGGCGUGCUUAACACAUGCAAGUCGAACGGUGAAGCUCCAGCUUGCUGGAGUGGAUCAGUGGCGAACGGGUGAGUAACACGUGAGCAACCUGCCCCUGACUCUGGAAUAAGCGCUGGAAACGGCGUCUAAUACUGGAUACGAGAAGGGUCCGCAUGGGCACUUUCUGGAAGGUUUUUCGGUUGGGGAUGGGCUCGCGGCCUAUCAGCUUGUUGGUGAGGUAAUGGCUCACCAAGGCGACGACGGGUAGCCGGCCUGAGAGGGCGACCGGCCACACUGGGACUGAGACACGGCCCAGACUCCUACGGGAGGCAGCAGUGGGGAAUAUUGCACAAUGGGCGAAAGCCUGAUGCAGCGACGCCGCGUGAGGGAUGACGGCCUUCGGGUUGUAAACCUCUUUCAGCAGGGAAGAAGCGAAAGUGACGGUACCUGCAGAAGAAGCACCGGCUAACUACGUG
rnacentral:rRNA from 1 species